AAAAAAAAAAAAAAAAAAAAAGGUGCAACUUUCAAUAUUUUUAUACUAACACUAGUUGGUGCUAUUAUUUCUUAAUAUGAAAAAAAAAAUAAGCCCACAUUAAUUUAACUGCAUAGCAAACCCUAUUAAAUAAUAAUAAGACUUUAUUAAGCCCCCCCCCACGUGUUCUCUGAGAGAUGGUUGAGUUUUCUGACGUCACCCCAGAAACCAUUAACAAUGUCAAAACGACCAAAACUUUCCGGUGCCGAGGGAAGGAAAGAAAGAAGAGAAGAGGAGGAGAAACGCGACAAAAACAGAGAUACGCUGUUGAAAUAUCUAAAUCCACCUCCGGCAAAUCCUGGCCCAUCGACGCUUCAACAGCAUCAAGUGAUCCUCCUGUCGCCUCCACCUCAGAAGAACCCAGUGAUGCAGCAUCAGGAAUAAAGGCUGCACCAAUAGACCCUGCUGACUGGCCAUCACAUCUAAGUGAUGACGUACGAACAGGGUUAGUUCACAGAUGUCCAUUUUAAAUUGAAAACACCUUCACAUUCCCUAAACAAAAGGACGGACGAAGGUGUCAACAUGAGUACAUUAACAGACACUUAGUCAGUGGGGAAAAAAUCGGAAGAAGCUGGCUGAUGUACUCGAAAAAGGAUGAUAGCUUGCACUGUUUCUGCUGCAAAAUGUUUUCCAAGAGAGAUUACAAACUGAAUAGGACUAAAGGACUGGAAAAAUGCAAGCCACUUGCUCAAGGUCCAUGAGGAUAGCCAGGAGCAUAAUGCUCACAUGGCAACGUGGAAGGACUUGGAGGUCUGUUUUGCGAAAGGGCUCACAAUAGAUAAACAAGAGAUGGCACUUGCUGAGGCUGAGAGAAAAAAGGUGGUGUAACGUUCUACAUCAAUGGGUGGCAAUAAUUUAUUAUUUUCUUGUUAACUGUUUUGAUUGAACUUGUUUCUCUAAAAAUAAAAUAAAAUGUCAAAGACAAAGCUA